rnacentral:lncRNA from 1 species
AUGUACUCAAGUUUGCUUUGUUUAAUUAAAGCAGUUGUGCUGGGAGUGACUUUGGAUCAAGGUCCAAAGGUUGUGGUUAAAGGAGUGGGCAAAACUAUUUAUCUGCAAUGCAAGGUAAAGGAUCUGGGCUCUUCAGACUAUAUCCACUGGUACCAAGUUAAAGACAAAGAAGCCCCAACAAGGCUACUCUACAUCAGUAAAGGAGGUAGUGUUGCUCGUGAUACCAGCGCUGAUGCAGCUGACUUCACAGUGGACAAAGCAAAGCUUUAUGAUCUAAAACUGAGUAAUUCUCAGCCAAAACAUUCUGCUGUUUAUUUCUGCGCCUACUGGGACAGAAGCAGCGGCCACAGUGAGAAGAUUUACUCACAUCCUGUACAUGAACUAUACUGCAUGGCACUUCGGCUCAGAAAGGACUGUUUCCUGAAAACUUUACACAGCGUCUGGAGUAAAUGACCUUCGGUGUGUUGUGAGAAGGCACAUGGAUCUGGACGUCUGCUGACCGAGCCACUCACUAUAAAGUCUAAAGUACUGAUGACAUCUGAACUAUCAGACUAGACAAACACCACAUAAGAGGAAAUAACACCAUCGACUAAACGAAGCAAGAGGAGACAAAAAUACUGUACCUACUCUGAGCAUAAAGAAAAUAACCAAGCAUGAUGUGAUAGUAUGGUCAACCUUUUCUCAGAAAACCAAGAUCAAAUCCCUGUUUUAUGUUUGUUUACCUGUGAGCAGCAACGAAUUGAUGUGUGCUUUGUUGGAACUCUGGUGAAAAAAUAUGCAAUAUAUGUCAUUGGUUGAUAGAGUUAUCAUUGUCUUCAUUGUUUGGUUCUGAGACAAAAAAUUGCAUCACUGUGUUAGUAUAGUUAGCUUCACUGUAGAGCAUUUCUGUGAUGUACAUAUCUGUGCUAAUUUAACUGUAAAGUGAAUAAAGAAUAGUUCAUAUGAGUCGUGGUUUAUUUUCACGAAAGGAAACAGCAUCAGUAUAAAUAUUAUGUAUACAUACUGGUUAUAGGCCUACAAAUUAAAUAUCCUGUGAGGUACAAUCACUGGUCAGGUUAGAGCAUUUAAAAGAACUUUCAGUGUAGUUAAAGGGAUAGUUCAACGUCACUUGCUGGUCCCCACGGACUUACACAGGGGUUUUUCCCCCCUCCAUACUAUGAAAGUCGAUGGGGACCAGCAACUGAAGGUGAGCCAUCCCUUUAAGUACAGUGCCAAUUUUACAUGUGUUUUGUAAUGACACGCAAAUAACGCAAGGGGGAGACAUUCAUCUUAUUUUCUCAGUUGGACAAAGUGUGUGCGAGUUAGACUUUUUAUUUUAUUAUAUUAUUAUAUUUAUUUUAUUAUAUAAGAAAUGUUAUUUAUUUUUCAGAAAACAUUUUAAAAAAAAACUAAAAUUAUUUGAGAUUUUGGGAAUCAAAAUUAAAAUCGAUGGAGCAGCACGAGCGUAACCCAGUAUCUCUACAUUCACUGCUCUGUUCUCCAAUCCCAGUGAGCAAACACUAUUUGACAAAUAAUCCAAUUAUUUGCAGAUCAUUCAGUAUAUAGUCACACUUCAGACUUCAGUUUAACAGUAAAUAAGCAUUGCCUUCUGCCCUAUUCUGUUAACCCUUUGUUUCAUCCUUAUAGAUUUGGCAUUUCAAUUGUGGUUUAGAAAUGGAAUCAAUUUGUUAAGGACCUUUUCAAAGAUGGCAUUUUUUUUUCAAUCCAACAGGAAAGAACAGACUUUGAGAUCCCUCAGUCCAAUUUUUUUUAGGUAGUGCCAGGUAACCACAUAUAAAAUAUUGCCUUUUCCUUAUUAUUGGCUAGACGCCUCAUUCUUCUCGGAUGGAAAAGUCAAGGCCACCUCUUCAGAAACUUUUGGAAAGUUCUACAGGGUCUAGCAGCCCUUCUUAUCCUCGUGGGCUAAUAUAUUAUACUGAACCAUACUGUGUUUUUUUGGCUGUUGCUAAAAAUAUACCCCAGCGACUUAAGACUUCAUGGGUGACAGGGUCACAUAUGUAUGUAGUUAUGUGUGUUUGGUGUGGAAUAUGGGAAUAUGUGAGUUAAAAGAAAGUUGCAUAUGUUUGUGUGGUUGUGAAUGUUGCAUAUUAAUGAAAAUCAAUAAAAAAUACUUUAAUAAUAAUGUCUAUUGAUACUGUAUACUAGCUUAUUUAAAACAUCUGGCCUGUCAGUUUAAUUUUUCACUUAUUUUCUCAGCUUUCUUGUUUUCCGAUAUAGUCUGAAGAGCCCUCAUACUUGCAGGGCAGAUAUAUAGUUUUGCCCACUCCUUUAACCAAAACCUUUGGACCUUGAUCCAAAUCCACUCCCAGCACAACUACUUUAAUUAUAAUGUGAUAAUGUGACAAUAAUUUCAUUUAAAAUAAAAGGCUCCUGCUAAAUUUGCUUAAACAUGGUUUCUAAGGUAACUCCAUAUCAGGAAAUGACAUCAGCAACCCAUUUUUGAAGUUCAUACAAAAGCAGUGUGUAACCUCAAAGACAGCUUUACACCAAUUAUACACAUUUUUCACCAGAUGAAUGAUGUUUUUUAUACAUUUCUAUUGUCCUCCUCUUAGAGGUGCCAGGUAAGUGACAUUUAUAAUAAUAAUAAUAAUAAUAAUAAUAAUAAUAAUAAUAAUAAUAAUAAUAAUAAUAAUAAUAAUAAUAACAUUAUUUAAAUGUACUCAAGUUUGCUUUUUUUAAUUAAAGCAGUUGUGCUGGGAGUGGAUUUGGAUCAAGGUCCAAAGGUUGUGGUUAAAGGAGUGGGCAAAACAAUAUAUCUGCAAUGCAAAGUGGAUGGUCUGAGUGAUUCAGACUAUAUCCACUGGUACCAAGUUAAAGACAAAGAAGCCCCAACGAGGCUACUCUACAUCAGUAAAGGAGGUAGUGUUGCUCGUGAUACCAGCGCUGGAGAUGCAACUGACUUCACAGUGGACAAAGCAAAGCUUUAUGAUCUAAAACUGAGUAAGAUUCAGCCGAAACAUUCUGCUGUUUAUUUCUGCGCCUACUGGGACACAAGCAGCGGCCACAGUGAGAAGAUUUACUCACAUCCUGUACAUAAACUAUACUGGUAAUGUUAUUACCAAUAUUUAUACUUAAAUUGCAAUUUUCUGUUUAAAUGGUUAAUUUGACAAACUUUAUAUGCACAUGCUGGCUGGAUGAUGGUAUUUUGAUCUGUUUAGAUUGGAAUUAUUAUUGUCCUGGUGUUCAUAGAGACAUUGUACAUGUUUGAAUGAUUUUGUUUUUACACACUGUAUUUAUAUUUGUUAUUUUGGAAUAUAUCAAGUGUAUCUUAAAUGUUAUGUGUAUUUCAAUUUUUUUUUUAAUAAAAUGUGUAAUUAUGGGUUUGUUUUAUAUUCAGUUUGAUGAAGCACUUGUUUGAAUAGGGUCAGGGUUAUUAAAGUUAGGCCAACUAAAAAAUAGAACUAAGAAAUAUUUAUGAAUAUUUGUUCCUUGAAAUACUUUUUUAUAGGAAAUUAUGAUCCGCACUCACGAGAACGGUCUUCUUUUUAAAUUUUAUUUUACAUUCAUCACUGAUGGGAAAGACAACUUCCUUAAAAUACUUGAAAAUUAAACAACAGAAUAAAAUACAAUCUAAAAAACACAGACUUACUUUGUUA